rnacentral:rRNA from 1 species
AUUGAACGCUGGCGGCAGGCCUAACACAUGCAAGUCGAACGAGUGGCGGACGGGUUAGUAAUGUCUGGGAAACUGCCUGAUGGAGGGGGAUAACUACUGGAAACGGUAGCUAAUACCGCAUCCCAUCAGAUGUGCCCAGAUGGGAUUAGCUAGUUGGUGGGGUAACGGCUCACCAAGACCACGAUCCCUAGCUGGUCUGACAGGAUGACCAGCCAGACUGGAAACGUGCCACGUGCCAGACUCAUAAGGUAGGCAGCAGUGGGGAAUAUUGCACAAUGGGCGCAAGCCUGAUGCAGCCAUGCCGCGUGUAUGAAGAAGGCCUUCGGGUUUUAAAGUACUUUCAGCGGGGAGGCGUUACCCGCAGAAGAAGCACCGGCUAACUCCGUGCCAGCAGCAGCGGUAAUUC